AAUCAACGCUGGCGGCGUGCCUAACACAUGCAAGUCGAACGCGAAAGCCCCGCAAGGGGUUAGUAGAGUGGCAAACGGGUGAGUAACACGUGGGUGACCUGCCUUCGAGCGGGGGAUAACGUCCCGAAAGGGACGCUAAUACCGCAUAACAUCCUGCCUUUUAAGAGGUGGAGAUCAAAGCCGGGGAUCGCAAGACCUGGCACUUGAAGAGGGGCCCGCGCCUGAUUAGCUAGUUGGUGGGGUAAUGGCUCACCAAGGCAACGAUCAGUAUCCGGCCUGAGAGGGCGGACGGACACACUGGGACUGAGACACGGCCCAGACUCCUACGGGAGGCAGCAGUGGGGAAUUGUUCGCAAUGGGCGCAAGCCUGACGACGCAACGCCGCGUGGAGGAUGAAGACCUUCGGGUCGUAAACUCCUUUCGAUCGAGACGAAUGGUCUCCGGGUGAAUAGCCUGGAGAAGUGACGGUACCGAGAGAAGAAGCCCCCGCUAACUCCGUGCCAGCAGCCGCGGUAAUACGGGGGGGGCAAGCGUUGUUCGAAAUACUGGGCGUAAAGGGCU
rnacentral:rRNA from 1 species